ACCAUAGGAAUGGAUUCAAAUAAGGCUUGGAAGGGGACUUGCCAAUGUCCAAGCAGGAAUCUUGCAAUGGCUAUGUGACAACUUGGAGACUGAAACGGCAAGCAUGGAACCUCCAUGGACCUGCAUCGGAUCCUCUGCAUAUCUGUUAAGGCUUGGUGACAUGUUACAGCCAAAACAUCCAGAACACAGGGAAGGGACAUGCAAAGCCGUGCUGGAACACAGAAGACAGAAGGAUUUCUUCCACGGGGAAAGUCAAGAAAGAUUCUGAGAUAGGACAGCAUCAAGUAUAAAGGUUUGUGAAUAUUCACAAUAUACUUCAUGAGUCAAGUGUGGCUAGGACGUCUGACAAGGGUGUAGAGAAGACCAAAA